rnacentral:rRNA from 1 species
UACGGGGGGGGCAAGCGUUGUUCGGAAUUACUGGGCGUAAAGGGCUCGUAGGCGGCCAACUAAGUCGGACGUGAAAUCCCCAGGCUCAACCUGGGAACUGCGUCCGAUACUGGAUGGCUUGAAUCCGGGAGAGGGAUGCAGAAUUCCAGGUGUAGCGGUGAAAUGCGUAGAUAUCGGAAGGAACAUCAGUGGCGAAGGCGACUUCCUGGACCAAUACUGACGCUCAGGUGCGAAAGCGUGGGGAGCAAACAGG